AGCGAACGCUGGCGGCAGGCUUAACACAUGCAAGUCGAGCGGGCAUCUUCGGAUGUCAGCGGCAGACGGGUGAGUAACACGUGGGAACGUACCCUUCGGUUCGGAACAACUCUGGGAAACUCGAGCUAAUACCGGAUACGCCCUUAUGGGGAAAGGUUUACUGCCGAAGGAUCGGCCCGCGUCUGAUUAGCUAGUUGGUGGGGUAACGGCCUACCAAGGCGACGAUCAGUAGCUGGUCUGAGAGGAUGAUCAGCCACACUGGGACUGAGACACGGCCCAGACUCCUACGGGAGGCAGCAGUGGGGAAUAUUGGACAAUGGGCGCAAGCCUGAUCCAGCCAUGCCGCGUGAGUGAUGAAGGCCUUAGGGUUGUAAAGCUCUUUUGUCCGGGACGAUAAUGACGGUACCGGAAGAAUAAGCCCCGGCUAACUUCGUG
rnacentral:rRNA from 1 species